ensembl:snoRNA
UCUGAGGAAUGGUGACAAUAAAAGGCUAAAUUGUGGUGUCUCCAUCAGUAGUUUGCUCUCUUUGUGGGUGCCCCACGACAAAAUCUCCUGAAGCAAACCACUGGUCUGACCUCAGU